UGGGGAAUAUUGGACAAUGGGGGCAACCCUGAUCCAGCAAUGCCGCGUGAGUGAUGAAGGCCCUAGGGUUGUAAGGCUCUUUUACCAGGGAUGAUAAUGACAGUACCUGGAGAAUAAGCUCCGGCUAACUCCGUGCCAGCAGCCGCGGUAAUACGGGGGAUGCAAGCGUUAUCCGGAAUAAUUGGGCGUAAAGCGUUCGUAGGUGGUUUUGCAAGUCUGCUGUUAAAGCGUGUAGCUUAACUACAUAUAGGCGGUGGAAACUGCAAAACUAGAGUGCGUUCGGGGCAGAGGGAAUUCCUAGUGUAGCGGUGAAAUGCGUAGAGAUUAGGAAGAACACCGGUGGCGAAAGCGCUCUGCUAGGCCGCAACUGACACUGAGGGACGAAAGCUAGGGGAGCGAAUGGGAUUAGAUACCCGCGUAGUCC
rnacentral:rRNA from 1 species